rnacentral:lncRNA from 1 species
ACUUCUUUUCAGGCAGCGUGGGGUAAACGUAGUUUUGUGAAGUUUCUUUUUAGAAACAUGUAUACACAUAGAUACUUUUUGGAAAGAAGAGAAGCUUAUCUUUACUUUUUAAAAACUUUUUUGUAUGGUUACUAGGCUUUUUAACAGAUUGUUUUGCUCCUGAAUAUUUAGUUAAUGUUUUCACAUGAAUUUGUAGUCGAAGGCAUGUCGUGUCCGCUUUUUUUGUUAUUCAGACAGUUUUUUACAUGCAUUUUCUAUUCAUGUGCCAAAUUUCAACGAAAAAUAAUUGGGAGCAGAUAUGUUACAAGGUGCUUUAUUAAAUAUACUGCUUUUUUUAGGUAGGGUUAGACAAACGUUUUUUGUGGUGUUUCUUUUUAGAAACAUAUAUAAACAAAAGUUAUAUUUGGAAAGAAGAAAGUCCAAUAUGCACAGACUACAACUGUUCUUUCUACGUGUGCUACGCCUGGUUGGUGGGUUAAAUAUGAUCAUUUAAAUGAGAAAAUGUAUACUAGUGCAGUUUGUAAUCUGGGUGUUAUAACAUCACAACCACAUCUAUGACCAACUCUAAGGUCACGUUAUUUUGUUUGGCAGUGUUUUGGAAUCAAGUUAUGGCAAAAUUUUAUGUAUAAAAUAUAACAAUUACAUUUAAAAAGUGCUUAUUUCUGACAAAAACUUGUAUUUUCUUAAGGGUUAGAUGCUGUUUCAUUACCCCCUCUGGUUCCCAAGAUACACCCUACAUCCAGGCACCAAAAUUAACUUGUAGCCCAUUAGUGCACCUAUCUUGUGAUACCAAGAUAUAGGUAUUUGGAUAAAAAUUGACAAAGUUAUAACAAUUAAAGUGAAAAAAAUAAUUAUUUUGACCACAGUUUCUUCAAUAAUUCCAUAUUCUUGCGGCGAACGUGACGUCACUUUAACUAACUAAACGGCUACCAUUAUGGUAUGGGGGCAAACAAAGCGCUUGAAAAUGAAGAAAUGUGUUUUUGAUUGUUCAAUUAAUGUUAAUAGUCAUCCGAACUUGAUUUGUUAUAUUUUGCUUCCUGAUCCAAAGAGAAGAAAAUCGUGGCUUUAUGCUUUAUAUAAAACUGAUUCAUCUUGCAAAAACAAACUUUGGUCGCAAAACAUGUCUAAGUAUGCUCAAAACAUUUGUAUCUGAAUAUUAUGUACAAAUAAGUCAUUGCAAUAAAUCUCAAGUUAUUAAAGUCAGUGAACAAAUAAGUACUGACAAUUCGUUGACUGGAGUGGAAGAUGUUAGUGUCUUGAACCAACAUGAAACAACAAGUUAACUUAGCUGAGAAUGAUGGUAGUUUAAAAAUAAUGCAGCAUUGGCUAGGAUUGUUCCUAGGUCACAAAAACAAUCUUACAAAUAGAGUUUCUGCUGUUGUCACUAGUUUUAGAGAGUACCUUCGUGAAUGAAGAUAAAAAGUCAUUUAUGUUAUUUUUUAAAAGCCAAGACAUAAUAUUGUUAAUCCUCAUACUAUUUACUAAAAAGCUUUUUAAAUAUU